rnacentral:rRNA from 1 species
AUUGAACGCUGGCGGCAUGCCUUACACAUGCAAGUCGAACGGCAGCACGGGAGCAAUCCUGGUGGCGAGUGGCGAACGGGUGAGUAAUGUAUCGGAACGUGCCCAGUCGUGGGGGAUAACGUAGCGAAAGCUACGCUAAUACCGCAUACGAUCUAUGGAUGAAAGCGGGGGAUCGCAAGACCUCGCGCGAUUGGAGCGGCCGAUAUCAGAUUAGGUAGUUGGUGGGGUAAAGGCCCACCAAGCCUGCGAUCUGUAGCUGGUCUGAGAGGACGACCAGCCACACUGGAACUGAGACACGGUCCAGACUCCUACGGGAGGCAGCAGUGGGGAAUUUUGGACAAAGGGCGCAAGCCUGAUCCAGCAAUGCCGCGUGCAGGAUGAAGGCCUUCGGGUUGUAAACUGCUUUUGUACGGAACGAAACGGCUUUUUCUAAUACAGAGAGCUAAUGACGGUACCGUAAGAAUAAGCACCGGCUAACUACGUGCCAGCAGCCGCGGUAA